ensembl:lincRNA 1700016F12Rik RIKEN cDNA 1700016F12 gene
AAGCUGUCCUCUGAAAUAGUGUCCCUGGUGGUUUAUACCCACCAUACUCACUGCUGCCUGAGACCCUGUUCCUGAACGCCUCCAAAUCCUGAGACUGCCAGUGCACAAAAGCUGAUGGGGGCAAGAGACCUACAUCUGGUGCCCGAACAGGAACACUCCAGGAUGUGUGGAAGAGAAAUGAAGACUCCUCCACCAAGGGAAGGCCACCAGCCACACUAUUUGCCAGGAAGUGGUUGCUGCUGCUCUGAAACCAUAUUUAGAAAAGGGAAUACACACUUAUCAAUCUCCUGGUUAAACAACCGCUGUACUCACUACCACCUGAGACUCUGCUCCCCAGCUCCUCCAAAUCCUGACAUUUCAGGCACAUAAUGGCCAAUUGGGAGCUGGGAACCCACACAUAACUACCUGUAAUUCCAGCUCCAGGAGAUUAUAGAAGGAACUGGCCUUUGAGGGCACCUGAAUUCAUGUGAAUACCGCCCCACACAUAUGCAUAAUUAAAAGUAAUAAAAAUAGGUUUUGAAGAUAAAAUGAAAAGAAGCUCAGUACAGUAGUAGAACAUAACCCUUAAUAAAUGUUAUUUUAAGCCAUGGUUGGGGGUUCACACUUGUACUUACAGCUACUAAAUUUGUUAUAAAAAUGAAUCAAAAUUUUUCAU